rnacentral:rRNA from 1 species
CACGUAGGGAGCAAGCGUUGUCCGGAUUUAUUGGGCGUAAAGAGCUCGUAGGUGGUUCGGUAAGUCAGGUGUGAAACCUCCAGGCUCAACCUGGAGACGCCACUUGAUACUGCUGUGACUGGAGUCCGGUAGGGGAGCGUGGAAUUCCUGGUGUAGCGGUGAAAUGCGCAGAUAUCAGGAGGAACACCAGCGGCGAAGGCGGCGCUCUGGGGCCGGUACUGACACUGAGGAGCGAAAGCGUGGGGUAGCAAACAGGA